GUGGGGCUGCUAUGGGGUGUUGGGUCUGGCAUCGCUACGCUGGGGAGAGGAGGUGAUGUGAGCCCAAGUAGAGCUUCAGGUCCUUCCUGCAGAGCCCCGCGGGCAGCGCACGAAGUUGGCGGCGGCUCCGACCCCUUCUCCGGCCGCGGCCGCCGCCUCCGGCCCCGGGGGGGGCUCGGGCAGCCAGGGGGGGCCCUGCGGCAUGCGGAGGGGACGAGCCCUGCCGGGGACAACCCCCCCC
rnacentral:lncRNA from 1 species